CUAGGUCACUGUAUUGUUAAACAGAUGUCAAAUGCAGGAUCAAUGCUAAAGUUGGGAAGGCUAAAUUUCAAAACAUCUCCUCUGGGCCAUAUUCAAAGACCUGAGCUGACUUGAACUGCUGAAUCCAUAGGGAGGAUCUCAACACAGCUCUCAGCGCUUGGACGUUGAGGUGGUGCAAGGAGGAAGAGGGAGAGAGAUUCAAGCCCUCCCUCCUUCCCUUUGAAUAUGAAGGCUUCAGCAGCUGAAUGAAAAGGCACACAACAGAGCUCUUGUAUGAUGUCUGUCUCCCCUUUCUGGCACCUGGCCUGCUCAGUGCAAUUGGGAAAGACAAAUGGCAAGUGAUCACUUCAUAUUCAACUUCUGCAUGCUAACUUUGUUUUUCACAUGGAAGCAGUUUUGUACUUGCCAUGUUUGUCAUUCUGCCAUGUGUCUUUUCUGUUUCCUGUUACAGUUUCUAUUUUUUAUUUUUUUUCUUUUGAGGAGAGGGUACCAGAACUGCACUUGGUAUUCAAGAAGCAGAUGCAUCAUGAAUUCAUACACUGGUAAAGUCAUACUUUUCUCUCCUAAGAAUUCUGAACUUUUGAUUUUCUUUUUUUGACUGCUAUUGAGGAAUGAGGUGAUAUAUUCAUAGAACUAGCGAUUAUAACGUCAAGAUGCGUUUCCUAAAUUGUGCAAACUAGUUCAGAGCCCAUCACUCUGUGUGUAAAGUUAAUGUUGCUUUUCGUGGAUAGUUGUCAGGGCUGAAAUUUGUCUUCCACUUUAUCAUGAGGCUGCUCAGUGUCAUAAGGUCUUUGUUUUUCUAGUAAAUAUUACCCUAAUUAAUUUUGGUUUUAUCCAAAAUCAUCUUCACUGUUCCACCUGCUUUCCAGAUCACUUCUGAACACACUGAGCACCAUGGACCUUAAUCCCCAUGAGAUUCCACUGAUGAUCAUCUUCCACUGUGAAAACUCAUCCUUUAGUUUUAUCUUCUUUUCCCAAUAUUAAGCUGUUAUUUAAUUCUAUGAGGUCCUUACCUGUAGUCCCCAGCUGUUUAGUUUAUUUAAGAGCCUUUGAUGAGACUUUCAAUGUCUGAGGUUUCUGGAAGCUUGGGGUGAGUUGGAAACACAGGGAAAAUUUCUCAGCUGGAUUUCUGUUAUUUGCAUGCUUUUGACUCCUUCAAAGAAUUCCAGCAGAUUUAGGAGGCUUAGAUUCCUUUUACAAAAGUCAUGUUUACUUUUCCUUAUUGUGUUACUUUUAUUCAUGUAUUCACUAAUUCUGUUCUUUACUAGAGCUUCAACCAAUAUGACCAAUAUGGACAUUAGACUUCGUGAUCUGUGGUUUCUUGAAUUGCCACUGGAUUUAUUUUUAAAAACUGAUUUCUUAUUAGUUACCUUCCAGUCCUUUGAUAACUGCAGCAGUUUUCAGCAAAAGGUUAUAUACUAUGGGUAUUAGCUCAGAUGAUUCAUAUUUAACAUUCUGUAAAAAUCUUGUAUGAAUAUAAUCUGUGCCCAGUGAUAUGUGGUUACUCAUUUUGUCUGGUUUGUAAUCUACUCUUAACAACCUUAAGACAAGCCUUCUGUGAAUGCCUUAUAAACAAGAUACUGGUUUGAGUUUUUCCAAGAUUCUCCAGGUGAACAGAGAUUUUUUUUAAAAAAAAAGGAGUUUGGGAUUUUUUUGUGGUGGCAUUAUCUUUUCUGAGUGCUUCCUUCAUACCUGUGUAGCUCACUGGCUCUUGCAAGCUUCUUGCUCUUGAUGUGUUCAAGAUGGAUUUAUUACAUUAUUUUUUUUAUUUCUUUACCAAACUGCUUCUAAACUCUUUCUUCAGUCUGUGUUAUUGUGCUUUUACAUUUAGUCUGCCAGAAUUUAUGUUCUUUUUAGUUUUUCUUUCUCAGACACAACUUCAGCUUUUUGCAGGAUACCUUUUAACUUCCAACAGCCUCCCUGAUCCUGCUGUUUUAUGAUGCUAGCUUUUUGUUUUUCUCUCAAGUCUUUUUUGACAGGCUAUAUGCAUUUGCUUUGAGCCUCCAAUAUAGAAUCCUAAAAUAGUCUACCUGCCAUCUGAAAACAUUUUACCUUUCUGGCUGCCACUCUGAGCAUUUUUUUAAACAAAUUUCCUCAUUUUUGAAUUCCCUCCCUCUGGAAUCAAGCACAACCACUACAUUUGCCAACAUUUCUUCAUUUCAGUGUAUGCAAUCAUGAAUCGCAUAAAAGGAUUAAGGGUUUUGGCCUAGUCCAGUCUCUAGGAAGCCUGGAAAUAUCAGCCAUUAACAUUUCACUAAUGUUAAUUUCACUAAUUUCAUUAACUGAGAAGCAGGGAAGGAAGUGGCUUUCCAGGUCUGGAGAUGGUGGCAAUUCUUGCCCUGGAACAUCAGUUUCUCUCUUCAACCUACAACAGACAAAAUGACAGGUAAUUGGAAAAAAAAAAGCAACCUGGGUUGAUUUGUCGCCGCAUCACUGAAGUUUGAUACUGUGGGAGAAUAACGGAAGGUUGGUGAGGAGGGCUAUAAACACACUCAAGUGACCUGCAGCUGAGGUGUAGAAAAACACAUAUAUCAUACUAAUUGUUGUUUAGCCUUGUGUGUUGGACAAGUAGAACAUCUGUGUUUCGAUAACAUAGGCCUGUGAUAGACUCAGAGGCACAUUAUCGAGCGUCAUUGAGAUUUCUGCUCUGCUGUGGGAAAGGUCAAAGCACAGUGGAAAACUAUGCUUGUGUGAAUCUCUAAAAUAUGGUGAGAGCAGCAGAUUUGGUGAUCCUCAAGCAUAGACCCAGCUCUGCGGUGCCUCUCCCCUCAGUCGCUGCUUUGGGCAUCCCCUGGUAGGAGAGCCUGUCAACAUUUCUUGAGGAGCAGUACCCAAGACUGGACAUGCCUCUGCACUGAGGUAUUACUGACUACAGCAAAAGGACCUGCAAGAUGUCUUGCAGACUGCUUACUGCUCAGCUGAUGUCUGUCCUGUACUUUACUCCUGCCUAAGUUAAAACACCACGCUUUUUACAAUUGAGAUGACUCCUAUAUUUAUAGACAACUUGUCCAAGUUGUCAAAAGUUUUUAAUACUGCUAUCCCCCAUGUAUUUGUAGCCAGUCUUCACAGAUGUAAUCUUGGCAGAUUUAAUAAACACACAGUCCAUUUCCUCAUCCAGGCUAUCAAUAAAAUAUUGAAUGGAACUUAUGAACAGCUGAGUAAUCAUUCAAUUUGUCCUUUACAUUUCACAGUGAACCAUUGGAAACUACUCUUGGAGUACAGAUUCCAACCAAAUUUGUGACAUGACUUCAGCUAGAGCAUUCUUACACUCUUGAAUGUCAUAUGGAACAAUGUCAGGAGCCUCAGUGACAUUGAGGUGUGUGGUAUCUGCUACUUCUUCCUUAUCCACAAAGUCUCAGCCAUUGGAGAGUGAAAUUAGAUUAAGUCAGUUUGUUUUGUUUAUGAGGAAUUUCUGUUGACAAGUACGCAUCUCCUUAUUAGUUUUUAUGCACUUAGAGGUCAUUCAGAUUAUUCUGGUCUUUUUCUUUUCUUGGGUCUUAAAUCUUUUAUUAUCUUAGUUGUUCUAUUUGACUUGUAGAUGACUGCUAGUGGUUCCAGUUGUUUGAAAGUUUAAGAAAUUUGUGAACAGUUGUGAAGGCAGCAGAUACAAACCUCUCACCAGGAGAAACUCUGUGCCACAUCUGAAAUUCCUGUAAUAAAGCACAGAGACACAAAAGAUUCUCAAGAGAGUGGUGGAAGAAUGUUUUAACAAAAAGAAAUUAUUUUAUUUCAGUCUGAGAAAUUAUGAUGCAAAUCAUUUUAAUUUAGAAAAGAAAUUUCAGGCUAGCUUGAGAAUCCUGGACAGUUUUAACUACAAGUUGGAACAGUCUCAUAGAAAUAUGGUCAGGGUCAUGUAAAAGAAGAAGUUGGGAAACCUUAAUUUUGGGCUGCACUGACUUCUUUGCCUAUAAUAGAUUGGUAGUGAUAAUCUAAGAAAAUAGGAAUAGAGAUUAGACUAAAUUUCAUAACCUUUUAACCCAGAAAGCCUGGAUCUCCUCAGCAAAGUUUUUUCUGAACUCUAAUACAUGCUCACUGUUGACACGGGCUUAUUCACAGAACAGAAUGACCUUUGCACAGCUCAACGAGAAGCACGUGUCUGGUAAGUUCUAGUAUCUCCUGUUCAGUGUACCCAGGUGACUGUAAGUUUGAUCGUACAAAACAAGGUAUUUUGUCUCAUAGCGCUUCUGCUGGAGUGUUUGAUACUGUGUGUAUAGGAAGUGUAUGUAUAUUUAUAUGAACACUCAAGUAUAUGAGUCAAGGAAGAAAGAAUAUGCAUUGCAUUGGUAUGAACAACUUGCUGUUUUUCAGAAACUUUGUUUUUGUCUGAAUUCAGUAUUCUAAAGGUUAAAAAGAUACCACCCAACAAACUCUUAUCUAUGGUGUGUGUUGACAAGCCUUUGGGUCAGUACCAUUGCCUUUUGUUAUAUAAAACUAUCAGCAUGGUUGUGCCUUGAGCUGUUUGGAAGAUGGAACUGCUGCCAGAGGAGGGAAAUCAAAAGUGUCAUCAAACUCCCAAAAUAGAGGCAGAUGUAUUCCAUGUUGUCUGCAGGAAUUUUGAAGUGUGAGCAGGGGCCCUGUUAACGACUCUUUCUUCUUUUGUCCCCUUUUUUACCAUCUUCUGCAAUAUACAUCCCCUUCUGCUUCCUGGUGCUUUAAGCUUAAGGAACUGUAGAAGUACUCUGGAAGUCAUUCGCAUGUGGAAAAGUGUUCUUGCUUUCUCGGAUCCUUCGGUUUUGCAGGUACUUACCGCAAGGUUGGAAAUGUUCUUGGUGAUGAAGCAGAGACACACGUGAAUGUACUAAGGACAGGGCUGCAAGGCAGUGCAGUACAGAUUUUAUAACACAGAGGAGGGAGGGAAGAUGGUAAAUGUGACAACAAUUCCUGAGAAGGUCUCCAGGAGUGGAGAACUGGAAACCGUCACACCGGAGUCUACUGAGCAAAUUAGAAGCUCUGGCCUCAAACUGCUCUGAGUAUGUGCUGUGAGAGAGCCCUGUGGGCAAUGAAGACAGUAGCUGAAGCAAUUACUAAAGCAUUAGUGACUACCCUGGAAGCUCUUGGAAGGCAGGCAAGAUCACUGAGCACUACAGAGAGAGUAGAAAGUGAACGUGCUAUUUCUCUAGCAGGAUGGAGCCAGUGGUGCCAUGGUUGAGGGGAAGCAAAGGAUGGCAGCUGAGGGUUGGAGGAAACAGCCACAUUCUCGAGCUGAGUUUGUGGCUGUGAUUGUGCCAGGGUUGCUGGAGAAGGAGCCAGGCUGGCUGAGUGCUGCUGUGCCCCUGGAGCUGGUGGAAGAGCUGUAGCAGAGGCAUUGCUGUUUUGCCGCAAUGAAGUGUCAGAAGUCCCUGGAGAGAAGCACGGGAGUGCCCUGACAAUAUAGGGAGCAAGGGAGUAUGUGGGCACGGGCGGUGUCGGUAAGUGCCCUGAAGUGGUGCUCAUUGCUAAGAAUAAUUGCUAUUUCACCUCUUGCCUGCCCUCCACCAGCUGCUUGGGGCCACCAUUUUAGACUUCAGCUUGAGCUGCAAAGAUGCAGGAUGUGCUACAAAGAAAACAAAAUGGCUUCAUUGCCCCCAUCCUGCCUCUUUUCCUUGGGCACCCAGCCCUUGGCCAAAGCGUUCUCAGACUGAAGCAAGGAGUGUGUCUCCCCUGCCCAUUACCCAGGCUUUUCUGGGAAAAUGAGAUUUGAGAGGCACCAGCUCCACCCAGCAACCUUUCCAUGCCACUAGCUGCAGGAAAACCAAAACACUACAGCUAACCUGUAUUUGGCUGCUAAAAAACAGGUAAAGCAAAGAAGUGAAAAGCUGUGAUGGAGGUUUGGGAGAGCCUUCCCCUCUUCCUUUGCUCACGCACACAAAUGGGCUGCCUUGGGCUCUGAUCCUGCAAGGAACCUGCCCUGGCUAGGGAAGGCAGUCCCAGAAAACAGCACAAGGGAGUUUUAUUUGUUCUUUGCUUAACAUUUUCUCUGAC